UCACCUCUACUCUACGGACGGCUGAGAGAAAUGUAGAAAAUCAUUAACUCAGGUAAAGGGAGUUGAGACUGUACCAAAGACGAGACCUCCCUUCGUGGAGUUUGAACUGAACUUUUCAACUGCUUCCUAAUAUUCACCGUGUCUUCAGCUAUCAGCGAUCAUUUACUGCAACCGCUGUGCGCUGACUGCUCCCUGACUGUGUUGAAAUAUCAGUUGGAAACUUCUCUAUCGAUCUGAAAAAGUCAAUACAGAUUUGAACACAGCACCCAAGCUUGGUGAAGCACAAAAGAACUGCACUGACAUUCUGGUUUGUGGUGGGAGAGUGAUCCAACCUUCAUCUGACCCAACUCCAGAGAUCCAGGAUUGGAUUUUUGACGACACCAACUCAUGUCACAGACCAGCACCCAUCAGCUGGCUCUCCUCCUGUGCUGCCUCACUCCCUGUCCAAGGAUCCAUUAGGAUAUCUGCGCAGCAGCCCUCUUUGCCCCGCCUGCCGCUGCUC